rnacentral:snoRNA from 1 species
GGAUCGAUGAUACUCUAUGCAUACAUUCCUUGGAAAGCUGAACAAAAAUGAGUGAAACUCUAUACCGGCUAUCCUCACGAACUGAGGUCC